rnacentral:rRNA from 1 species
UACGUAGGGCGCAAGCGUUAUCCGGAAUUAUUGGGCGUAAAGAGCUCGUAGGCGGUUUGUCGCGUCUGCCGUGAAAGUCCGGGGCUCAACUCCGGAUCUGCGGUGGGUACGGGCAGACUAGAGUGCAGUAGGGGAGACUGGAAUUCCUGGUGUAGCGGUGGAAUGCGCAGAUAUCAGGAGGAACACCGAUGGCGAAGGCAGAUCUCUGGGCCGUAACUGACGCUGAGGAGCGAAAGCGUGGGGAGCGAACAGG